rnacentral:rRNA from 1 species
AUACGGAGGGUGCAAGCGUUAAUCGGAAUUACUGGGCGUAAAGCGUACGUAGGCGGUUAUUUAAGUCAGAUGUGAAAGCCCCGGGCUUAACUUGGGAACUGCAUUUGAAACUGGGUAACUAGAGUUUAGUAGAGGGGAGUGGAAUUUCAGGUGUAGCGGUGAAAUGCGUAGAGAUCUGAAGGAACACCAGUGGCGAAGGCGACUCCCUGGACUAGAACUGACGCUGAGGUACGAAAGCGUGGGUAGCAAACAGGAUUAGAAACCCGUGUAGUCC